CACAACUACUUCUUGUGUGCUAAUUGAUCACUGACUAUUCUCACAACAAUCCAUGGAGUGAGAUCUAUUACUGUUCCCAUUUUCACAGGUACUGAGCCUUAUCACAGGCACUGAGGAUAUAACACUUAAGACAGAUAAGAUGCACAGUUAUAUGGAGCCUACCUUCCAGUCAGAGGAGACAGAAUCUGUGCCUCAGAGGUACUCAAAAGACAAAAUAACACCAUCUGACACCUUGAAUUACUGAGUAAACUUUUGUACCACUGAAAACUCACAUCAGGUGCUUGGACAGAAUUGUAGGGGGAGGACAGCCCUUGUCAUCUGGUAAGUUAUACAAGUAUGUAAGCUGCUCACAGUGAAGAUAUAAUAGCUUUCAGGAGUAGAGAAUAGGUAGAAAGUACAAAAAUUAAAAAAAGCAACA